ACGAACGCUGGCGGCGUGCUUAACACAUGCAAGUCGAACGGAAAGGCCCUGCUUUUGUGGGGUGCUCGAGUGGCGAACGGGUGAGUAACACGUGAGUAACCUGCCCUUGACUUUGGGAUAACUUCAGGAAACUGGGGCUAAUACCGGAUAGGAGCUCCUGCUGCCUGGUGGGGGUUGGAAAGUUUCGGCGGUCGGGGAUGGACUCGCGGCUUAUCAGCUUGUUGGUGGGGUAGUGGCUUACCAAGGCUUUGACGGGUAGCCGGCCUGAGAGGGUGACCGGCCACAUUGGGACUGAGAUACGGCCCAGACUCCUACGGGAGGCAGCAGUGGGGAAUAUUGCACAAUGGGCGGAAGCCUGAUGCAGCAACGCCGCGUGCGGGAUGACGGCCUUCGGGUUGUAAACCGCUUUCGCCUGUGACGAAGCGUGAGUGACGGUAAUGGGUAAAGAAGCACCGGCUAACUACGUG
rnacentral:rRNA from 1 species